rnacentral:rRNA from 1 species
CCUUACAGGGUUUGACAUGCAAGUGGUAGGAAGCCGAAGGUGACCGACCCUUCGGGGAGCUUGCACAGGUGCUGCAUGGCUGUCGUCAGCUCGUGUCGUGAGAUGUUCGGUUAAGUCCGCUAACGAGCGCAACCCUCGCUGUGUGUUAUAUGUGUCACACGGGACUGCCGGUCUUAAGCGAGGAGGUGGGAUGAUGUCAAGUCAGCAUGGCCUUUAUAUCCUGGGCUACACACACGCUACAAUGGCCAACACAAUAGGUUGCUAAGCCGCGAGGUGGCGCUAAUCCCACAAAGCCGAUCGUAGUCCGGAUCGCAGUCUGCAACUCGACUCGCGUGAAGUCGGAAUCGCUAGUAAUCGUGGAUCAGCCAUGUCACGGUGAAUACGUUCCCGGGUCUU